AUUUCUUUUUAUUGUAUUAUAAUUCUGUGUUCUGUCAUUUAAAAGCAUCGUCUGGAUGGUAAAGUUUGUCUUUGGUAUUUAAAACAAACUUGUCAAUACAUUUGACUUUCUCUGUAAAGAUUUAUUUAUAUAUUUAUGUUUAUUAUUUUUCAGUGUUUUAACGUGUUUUUCUUUAUUUUUCAUGUUUAUGAUAUUUUGGAAUGACUGAAGAUCAGUGCAGAAUUCAGUAAUCCUGUGGAUGGACCGAAGCAAUUGCUUUUGCAGUUUAAUCCAUCAAAAUGCUUUGCAGACAUAAUGGAGAUGACAUUCACAUUGUAGAGCUUGGACAAAGUUCACACAGGCUCGGCGCAGGAACUCAUCAAGGACAUGACUGUUGGGAUCACGCUUGUGGAUGACCAAACUGAGCACCAUCAGUCUGCAGUGAUGUGGUCCAG